rnacentral:rRNA from 1 species
UAAACUAGGAUUAGAUACCCUAUUAUAAGAAAUGUAAAUAUAUAAAAAUUGAAUUAGUAUUAGUUAUGUUCUUGAAAUUUUAAAAAUUUGGCGGUAUUUUAGUCUUUUCAGAGGAACCUGUCCUAUAAUUGAUAUUCCACGUUUAAUUGUACUUAAUUUAUAUUAGUUUGUAUAUCGUCGUAGUUGAAUGUCUUUAAAAAGUAAAAUGUUCAUGAGUUAUAAUUUAUAAAUUAAAUCAGAUCAAGAUACAGUUUAUAUUUAAGAAGAGAUGGGUUACAAUAAAAUUAUUUAAAUGGUUAUAUUUAUUAAAAUUUUUAUAUAAAGUGGAUUUGAAAGUAAUUUAUUUUAGUUAAAAUAGAUGAUUUAAGCUCUAAAAUAUGCACAUAUCGCCCGUCCCUUUCGUUGAAAUUUAAGAUGAAAUAAGUCGUAACAUAGUAGAUGUACCGGAAGGUGAAUCUAGAAAGUAUUACAAAUUAAAGCUUUAAAAGUAUCCUAUUUACAUUAAGAAGAUAAAUUGUGUAAAUCAAUUUAGUUUGAAUUUAAUAAUUUAUUUUUAUUUUUAUUCAAAAUUUUAUUUAAAAAAAAUAUUUUUAUAUUUAUUUAUUAUUUAAGAUAAAAUUAUUAUAAUUAUAGUGUAAAGUAAAGUAAUUGAAUAUUGAAAUAAUUUAAAAUAUUAAAAUAUUUUAAAGAAAAAUUUAAUUUUUGUACCAUGUGUAUCAGGGUUUAUUAAAUAAUAAUUAUUUAUUUUAGUUUUCUCGAAUUUAAAAGAGUUAUAAAAUUAUUAAUCUUAUUGUAAGAUAUAUAGGCCUGCCCUAUGAAUUAUUUAAAUGGCCGCGGUAUUUUAACCGUGCAAAGGUAGCACAAUAAUUAGUUUUUUAAUUGAGAACUGGUAUGAAUGGCUAGACGAGAAAAAUUCUGUCUCAAUUUAAUUUAAAUUAGAAUUUUAUUUUUAAGUUAAAAAGCUUAAAUAAGUUUAGAAGACGAGAAGACCCUAUAGAGUUUUAUAUUAAUUAUAUUAUUUAUAAUAUAAAGUAUUUUUAUUUAAUUAAAAUAUAUUAGUAUUUAAUUGGGGUGAUUGAAAAAUUAAAUAAACUUUUUUUAAUUAAAAACAUUUAUAUAUGAAUUAAUGAUCCAUUUUUAUAUGAUUAUAAGAUUAAAUUACCUUAGGGAUAACAGCGUUAUUUUUUUUGAGAGUUCUUAUCGAAAAAAAAGUUUGCGACCUCGAUGUUGGAUUAAAAUUAACUUAUGGUGAAGAAGCUAUUAAAAGUUAGGUCUGUUCGACCUUUAAAAUUUUACAUGAUCUGAGUUCAAACCGGAGA